ACCUGUCAGUUCAUUUUAUUUAUUUACUAUUUUUACCACUUUACUAUUUUUACAACUGUAUUAAAUUCAUAAUUGCAGGAAACUGGAAAGGUAACUAUUCAGUAAAUACCACUUGGUUGAACAAUUAUUAUUUAGUGAUACAAUAGAUACAAAUGUACUUAAGUACUUUAUUGUACUUAGUACUUAAGUACUUUUAGAAAAUGUACUUAGUACUUAAGUACUUUUUGCUUGAGUACUUAGUACUUAAGUACAUUAAAAGUACUUAGUGCCCAGCUCUGUCCACCGUAACACAGUUGCAAUAUUGUUGCAUUACCACAUAUCCGAUACCCUCUCUACACCAGUCAGUCACUGCAGCCGUCGGCCGUGAUUUGUCAUAGUACAUCAAGACUUCUUUGGCUAACUGACAAAUAGUACACUUUGCCUUCUCGAAUUCUCACUGCAGCUGAUCACUGCAGCAUGGGGAAAUCCUUGACAGCUGAUAGCCUAUCAGCUGUUGGUUGGUAGGCAUCCCAACCCAACUGAUAACCCACAAAUUCCACUUCACGUUUACAAAACUUGAAUUUAGACAGAUUUAGUGUAAUCCCAUGUUUCUCACACACCUCCAAAAAAACCAGACACAUGCCAAAACGCUUGUUCAACAUUCAUGUCGUAUAGUAGGGCAUCAUCAAUGCACUUGUACUUUCUGGCAAUGUUUGCUAUGACAUCAUCAAAAUGUUUUGUAUAUGCAUCUGGAGCUGCACAAUGGCCCAUGGGGGUAUGUAGGUACUGAUAUCGUCCCCAUGGUGUAACAAAGGUACGCAACCUCCUACUCUCCCCAUCCAGUUCCACUUGAUGAAAACCAGAAUAUGUAUCAGCCACUGUUUUAAAAGUUUGAGGCGGGACGCUUGAGACCAUAUCAAAGGGGGCAGCUGUGUGGGGGGGUUUCUCGUAAGCAUACAGCAUUUAGCGGCUGCAAAUCCACUGUCUGUCUAGGCUGGCCUUUUUUCUUGCCAGUUAUUACCAUUUGGUGGCCUCACCAGCAGGCACUUUGUGAAUGAUACCUUGGCUUAUGUCUCUCUCUAACUGUUUCUUCACCUCAUUCUCCCAAUGGUUAGGAACAGGCAAUGAUGUAUCAAAUGCCACAGGCUUACCAUUUGGCACAACAUGAAUGUGCUGUUGGGAACCUUCCAUCACCGGGGGGAGGGGGUGCACUGUCUCGUAUUAAAUAUGGUGUCCGAAAAACGUUGCAAGGGCCAUUCUUGCAAUGGUCGACAUUCAUCUCGACAAAGGGGAAAGGUGGGUUCAUCUUGUUUGUAGGUGGUGCCAAGACCGUUAAGAUACUGCCCGACUGGGCCAAUGAGGCUGAUGGACUAUCCAUCGGGGACCCACCGAUGCGACAUUGUCAAAGGUACAAGCAAUUUCACUGUUCUCACAGACAAUAGACACCUUGGCAUGCAGGAAAUCUCUUGGCACUAAACAUAACUCUUUACAUGAAUCUAAAGAUAAGAAAACACAUGAUGAUGAUUUAGCAAAAUAAACCAUCUGCUCACACUUCACAGAACCUAUUUUAAUGCAACACAAGGUCUUUCCCCAUACUGGUACUGCCUUCCCACACAAUGUCCACCAACUUCACCUUCGGUUUUUGCGACUGACCCUUGCUCAACCCCAAUAAACUAAGAUGCUGAAUGCCAGCCACACACACUUCUGCCCCAGUAUCGGCCACUACCAUUGCCUAACACCAUUACCCAUUGCUAGGGAUGCGAAUAUCUACCUUCAUCUUAGGCAGGUUACUGACCAGUACAUGACACUCUAACAGUUGCCAAAGAACUUUUAUCCCCCUGACUUUUCUUCUUUCCUUUCAGGCAACACCUGGACAAAUGCCCUUUACCACCACAAUUAAAGCACUCAACAUCCUUUGCCGGACAGAUGAUACCUGUUGCAACUACUACACUUAGACCUAUCCUUUGAUGGGCACCUCUGCUGCUUACCUAUACCUGCAGCCCUGACCUCUGCCGCAGGUGGCCCCUCUUCGUCAGACAGUUCGACUACCGCCCCAAAAACAUUGGGUUUUCCCCCCAGUGUGUCACGAGCUGCUGCCUCGAAUGCUAAGCAUUUCAUAAUCAAAUCCUCCAAUGACAUAGACUCAUUUGCUGACUGAUACAACUCUCUUUUCAGCAUAGGGUUAUGUAGGCCAGCCAUUAUUUUCCUAACAAGGAUAUAUUCUGCUAAGUCACUAGAACACGACAGCCACUUAAAUCUACAAUCAAUUGCCUGUUGAAGACACUUAUUAAAGUAAACUUUAAUGGAUUCCUCUGCUAACAGAUGGCUGCUAAAGAACGUGUCCCAUAGCACAGCCUGGGUAGACGACGACGUCACUAGCUCCUGUAUUGUAUCCAGCAUUGCCGAGGGCGUCAUCACAGAUAUUUCAUCUGAUGACACCUUUGCACUCUGUGCUUAGGUGCUGCUGCUGCUGGGGCCUUGCCUGGCACAGGAGACUGCGGAGGUAUUCCCUUGAAGUGCUGAUAACUGAUGUGUCAAUCCCUCAAUCGCAGCUUUUUGAGACUGCAAUGCACAUGAGAUCCUGUGUGGUAGAGUUAACAAUGAGGGUGUGAGCCUGAGCAUGGAGGGUAGCGAUUGACCAGAUUUGCACAUAGAAUGUUGGAGCCCGGGAUUGAGGGCUGCUGCCAAGAAAGUAGUGGGGAGAUGUAGAGCAUGAGUGUUAGCCUUCAGAACUCUUCUCCAACAACCACCACCUCCACCCCUCCCGAUUGACAGAGCACUCAAGAUACGUCCCUUUGAGAAGAUAGGAGUAGACCACAUGGGCCCCAUACCCAUAGAAGGAGGAGUGGGGUACAUUCUCAUCAGCACCUGCUUGGCCAGCCGUGCUGUAUAUCUCGAUUACUGCAGUGGCCUGGAUGCCCAUACCUUUGUUUUGCUGCUAUGACACUUCGCGGCCACCCACGGUGCUCCUUCGACUGUCUACAGCGAUAAUUCGAUGACCUUCAGAGCCGCAAGCACCUUUCUCCAAGAGGUAUGUGAAGAGGUUGUUACAAGAGCAUUCCUGCGCCGCACGGGAUCCAAGUGGGUUUUUCAAAACCCCGAUCUCCCUGGAAAGGGGGAUUCUUUGAAAGGCUAAUUGGGGUUGUAAAGAGGAUGCUUGUUACGACGUUGUGACGAAAUCUGUUCACCGAGGAACAACUCAGAACCCUAAUCAAAGAAGCUGUAGCUGUAGUCAACAACCGCCCCUUGAUGUUCUCGGGAGACAUGCGUGAGGACGAAGCUCUAAUACCAUUGCACUUCAUCCGUGGAGAUGUUCAUUUAUUGCCGCCUGUGAUUCCUCACGAGGAUAUGUACAUGACAGCUACGUCACCAAUAUUUCAGGUUGACAGAAACCAUCAACUGCUUUAAAAAGUACUGGAGGGAAGGAUACCUGAAAUCUCUGAAAGAGCGUCACGACCUGCAAGAUGCAACCAACCCCCCCGCACUGCACUACGUGCAGGCGACCUCGUGCUGGUGAAAACGGACACGCGCACGCAGUCAAUGGCCCCUCAGCAGAAUCCUCGAGUUGUAUCCUGACGGAAACAGAGUUGUCAGGUCCCUGAAAGUCCUGUUUGAGGGCGAGGAACAUCUGCGUGCAACGCAACACAUCGUCCUUAUUGAGAUGAACACCCAUGACGACGAGCAAUCAGAAGUAAGUAGGGUUAGGAGUGAAAUGAGUGAGUCAGUAUGGGAUGCAGGUAUCCGAAUGAAAAGGAAGGCUGCAGAGGAACAGAGAAAAAGGAUGUCGGAGUGGGUAAGAGACGAUUUGAUUUAGUGUAGUGUAUAUUUUUCUCGAGAAUAAAGAGGUGAACUCUGAAAGUGUGCGCAUUGGAAAAGAGUUUUGAAGGAGUUAGGGCUGAGACUCCUUUCUCUAUAUUCUGUUGAGUCGUUGCAUGAGAACCGACACCGUGGUAUGACGACUUCGUUAGAACGUCUUGUAUAAGUGUUGAUUUAUUGGCUUUGUGCAUGUUGCAACUCUUGCAUUGCAUGGAAAAAGCUCCCACCAUGUGUAACUCUUGUACAAGUGUUUUUUUGGCAUCUGUGUUGGAACAACGAACAUUUGAAAUUGUAGAUCGUAACGACUUAUUGUGCGAAUAAUCUUCUGUUACUAUUCUUGCCUUAAUUGGCUGGUCUCGUGAUAUAGAUUUCAGUCUUUCAUGAUUACUAAAUCAUCUGUGCAUAACUGCAUCAUUAUAUUAUUGAUUUUUCUGUCAUUGAUGAUGACCCCGUUAUGAGCAUGCUCUGGAGCGAGCAAUAAGUGAGUUACAAGUUCUUAGAAGAGGAAUCUUGACACUAUUACAUAAUUUUACUUUUAUCAUUGAUCGAGCUAUGCUUGAGUACUGAUACUGAGGUGAUUUUGUAUGUUGAUGCCUUGAAAUAUAUGCUUACAUUGCUUUUACAUGAUUGAAGUCAUGAUGUGCACUGCACUGUUUGUCUGUUGAUGCCAUGAUAUUAUUCGAAUUACAUUUUGAUGUGAUCUUGCUGCCAUUAGAUGGCCUGAAUUGCUCUGUAGUAUGUUAUGUUGAGUUGACAUUGAUUGAAUUUUCCUGAACCUUUUAUUCCAAUCGUUGCCUCGAGAGUUACAAUUUGUACAUUGCUUUUGAUUCUCUUUGAUUGUUGCAUUAUGGCCUUGCCUUUUUGAGUGAUCACUCCAUAUUGCACCUGUUUGCUGUCAAAAGCUAGACCCGUGCUGUAGUGCCGCACACGAGCCUAGGCUUCGACGACCCACUUGACCAUUUCUGCCUGCUCCGUCCGAUUGCCUUGUUGCCUGCUCCUUUUCCUUCCCCCCUUUUUUGGAGGGUGGAGAAUGUCACGAAAACUUAGUGCACGAAUUUGCCGAGACUUAUUUUCCGCCUCUCCAAUAUUUUCCCGCUUGCAAUGAAAGGCGAAUUGCCACAUGUAAGGCAGAUUGGCGGCUGCAGUGAAAUGGUUCCUUUUUUUGUACGCAGUUAUUAGUCAUCGCCUCUCGUCGCACAUUGUUUAAUAACAAAAUUCUUGUUGUCUUAUAAAUUAUUGAAAAACGAAGGAAUAUUUCCUUCUUAAAGAAAAUAAAUUCGGACUAAAAUGACUAACCUGAUCUGCUUGGGUAUAAAACCAUCUUUCAUGUGGUUCUCGGUCUCUCUUUCAAUUAGCGUGGCAGAGUUAAUAAUUCUUGCAGGUCUUGAAGUGGUGUGAGUUUGAGCAUGGAGGGCGGUGAUUGACCAGAAUUGCACAUAGUAAGUAAUCGUUCCUUUUUGUAGCCAUUGUUGGGCUAAUUGAAUUUAAUCAUUACGAACAUAUUUAGAUUCUUUUAAGAAAUGUAUUGGCAUUUAUUUUGUUAAAAAAGUGUAACUUGAUUUUUUGAAAUCUGUGUUUUUGAGUGGUCUCGUGGGCAUAUAGAAUUCACCGAAGUUUAGGGUGCUGAGCCACCUAAGUCACAUUUAUUUACUUUGCUUUGUUAUUAAAUGAAGAGUUUAGUUUUGUAAUAAAAAUGGUUAAAAUCA